UACGUAGGGCGCAAGCGUUAUCCGGAAUUACUGGGCGUAAAGGGCGCGUAGGCGGCCUGUUAAGUCGGACGUGAAAUCCCCCGGCUUAACCUGGGAACUGCGUCUGAUACUGGAAGGCUUGAGUUCGGGAGAGGGAUGUGGAAUUCCAGGUGUAGCGGUGAAAUGCGUAGAUAUCUGGAGGAACACCGGUGGCGAAGGCGGCAUCCUGGACCGAAACUGACGCUCAUGCACGAAAGCGUGGGGAGCAAACAGG
rnacentral:rRNA from 1 species